GUGCUUCACUUCAACAGUACAUACACUAAAAUUAGAACAAUACAGAGACCAUUAGUAUGGCCCCUGUGCAAGGACGGCCUGCAAAUUCAUGAAGUACUCUGUAUUUCU
ensembl:snRNA U6 U6 spliceosomal RNA